AUUAAAAUAUAUACUUAAAUAAAUUACUAGAGUUCACUCUUUGAUGCGAAACUGUGUGCGUUUGAGCGAAAGUGCGAAAAUCGGCAGUUUUUUACAACAAACAUAUGGCCCCGUUAUGGCGUCGUUUCGUACAAACGCACAGCAAAGCAACAAAACAAACGCUAACUUUUGCCUUUCGCAUCAAAGAGUGAACUGGCUUAUUGUUUUGUUUUGCUUAAUAUUGCCCCACUGGAUUUUUAUAUGCGGUUUUUUUUAAUUUUUAUAUGGAGUAUCUAAAUUUAUGCAGUUUUUGAACUUUUUAUUGCGGCAUAUUAUACGCAUAUACCGCAUAAAAAAAGACCUAAGUGUAAUAAAAUGUUCACGGAAACAAAUUUAUGUGCGAUAAGCGUUUCGUUUGCGAUGAAAGUGACAAAUCGUCUGUCAGUCAACGGUGAGUUAAUUUGGGGUAGUUCACUUUGUACAACAAUUUUUUGUGUCCUUGAUUGAAAUAUGAAAAACAAACACUUUUAUAUUUGCCAAUAAAUGUUACAUUGAUGUCAUAACUAACUAAUUAACCGAAAUUAAAAUUUCCGUGUGUAU